rnacentral:rRNA from 1 species
GAUGAACGCUGGCGGCGUGCCUAAUACAUGCAAGUCGAGCGAACAGACGAGGAGCUUGCUCCUCUGACGUUAGCGGCGGACGGGUGAGUAACACGUUGAUAACCUACCUAUAAGACUUGGAUAACUUCGGGAAACCGGAGCUAAUACCGGAUAAUAUAUUGAACCGCAUGGUUCAAUAGUGAAAGACGGUUUUGCUGUCACUUAUAGAUGGAUCCGCGCCGCAUUAGCUAGUUGGUAAGGUAACGGCUUACCAAGGCAACGAUGCGUAGCCGACCUGAGAGGGUGAUCGGCCACACUGGAACUGAGACACGGUCCAGACUCCUACGGGAGGCAGCAGGAGGGAAUCUUCCGCAAUGGGCGAAAGCCUGACGGAGCAACGCCGCGUGAGUGAUGAAGGUCUUCGGAUCGGAAAACUCUGUUAUUAGGGAAGAACAAAUGUGUAAGUAACUAUGCACGGCUUGACGGUACCUAAUCAGAAAGCCACGGCUAACUACGUG